UUAAACUUUAGGAUUUCAAAUUUUGUGACUAUUCAUUCUCUCUCCUAUCAAACAUCUCCAAAUUAUUUUCCUCUUUUUUCUCUUGUGAAACUUCUCUCAAUUCUUCGUUCUUUCUCUUUUACUCAUGUUUAUUGUUCAUUUUUAUGAUUGAGUUUCAGACAGAUUCGGUUUUGUUUUUGAUUUUGUGUUUUUUGUUUCAGGUUUGGUGAUGUUGGCUUACGCGGAAGGGGAAGAUUUGCCGAUGGUGCGACUUCUGAUGGCUCCAUGUGCAGCGCCUUUGUGACCUAAAAAGGAAGUCGGAAACGAAUCGUGAACUUAUGACAAUACCACUUGAUACUCGAAAAACUUAAUCGGGUUUUGAGAUUUAUCAGUUGGGGACUAGAACGGGAACAUCGAUUUUGGAGAUGGUUAUAUCUUUUGACUUUUGAGCAGGCUUUUGGAAGGGUUACGACAUACCGCAUUAUUGGAAUCAGGACUUCACUACGAGAGAACUUGCUUACAUGCUUAACUGCAUAUCCUAGAAAAAUAAUGUUCUGCCAUCUUUGGAG